UAAUGCAAUGUAGCUGUGUGUAUGUAGUAAUGUAAUGUAGCUGUGUGUAUGUAGUAAUGUAAUGUAGCUGUGUGUAUGUAGUAAUGUAAUGUAGCUGUGUGUAUGUAGUAAUAUAAUGUAGCUGUGUGUAUGUAGUAAUGUAGCUGUGUGUAUGUAGUAAUAUAAUGUAGCUGUGUGUAUGUAGUAAUGUAGCUGUGUGUAUGUAGUAAUGUAGCUGUGUGUAUGUAGUAAUGUAAUGUAGCUGUGUGUAUGUAGUAAUGUAGCUGUGUGUAUGUAGUAGUGUAGCUGUGUGUAUGUAGUAAUGUAGCUGUGUGUAUGUAGUAAUGUAGCUGUGUGUAUGUAGUAAUGUAGCUGUGUGUAUGUAGUAAUAUAAUGUAGCUGUGUGUAUGUAGUAAUAUAAUGUAGCUGUGUGUAUGUAGUAAUAUAAUGUAGCUGUGUGUAUGUAGUAAUGUAGCUGUGUGUAUGUAGUAAUGUAGCUGUGUGUAUGUAGUAAUGUAGCUGUGUGUAUGUAGUAAUGUAAUGUAGCUGUGUGUAUGUAGUAAUGUAAUGUAGCUGUGUGUAUGUAGUAAUAUAAUGUAGCUGUGUGUAAUGUAGCUGUGUGUAAUGUAGCUGUGUGUAAUGUAGCUGUGUGUAUGUAGUAAUGUAAUGUAGCUGUGUGUAUGUAGUAAUGUAAUGUAGCUGUGUGUAUGUAGUAAUGUAAUGUAGCUGUGUGUAUGUAGUAAUGUAAUGUAGCUGUGUGUAUGUAGUAAUGUAGCGGUGUGUAUGUAGUAAUGUAAUGUAGCUGUGUGUAAUGUAGCUGUGUGUAAUGUAGCUGUGUGUAUGUAGUAAUGUAAUGUAGCUGUGUGUAUGUAGUAAUAUAAUGUAGCUGUGUGUAAUGUAGCUGUGUGUAAUGUAGCUGUGUGUAAUGUAGCUGUGUGUAUGUAGUAAUGUAAUGUAGCUGUGUGUAUGUAGUAAUGUAAUGUAGCUGUGUGUAUGUAGUAAUUUAAGGCCAUACAACAAUUCAUGUUAUUUUGUUCUUCAGUUGUUUUCCAGGCAACACCUUAGUCUAAUAACAAAUAAACAAUGUUAAAAACAAACAUAAAACAAACAUUGGUCUAAUCAAAUCAAAAAGACUAAUGUCUAUAUAUUCACAUAUAUUUUGUUUAUAAUAAAAAACUAGUAGAAAUGUAUAAUAAUGAAAUAUUAAGGGAGAAAAAAAAGGAUACAAAAAGUAUUCCUGUAAAAGGCUAUGUACAAGCUACAUUCUACAUACUGUACUGUGAAUAACAAGCCAUAGAAAUGAUGCAUAUUUCAGUGAUGAAGGCUAUGUUGCUGCCUUAAAGCCUACAGAGGAGUGAAAGUAUCCCCAUGUAGCCACAGUGAGAGAGCUGGAUGAGGCCUAUCAUCAUAGAACACAUGGGAUUUACAGCAUCUUCAGGAGCCCAUGAUUAGUGUUUCAAUAAGGAUCCUCCUUUAGAGAGUUAGAUAUGGGCCCUGGUCUAAAGUUGGCCACCACAUAGGGAAUAGGGCCCUGGUCUAAAGUAGUGCACUAUAUAGGGAAUAGGGUGCCAUUUGGGAUAGAGAGUUUCAAUUGACUGGCAAUACAGUCAAUGUUAGAUUAUGGAAUAUUGAUAUGGAAAUACCAAAUAAAUCCUUAUUAAAUAAUGCAUGACAAUAAUACCACAUUAUAUCCCUUUAAGGAUCAUUUACUGUGACUGUCAGCUGUGGUAAUAUACUGUUUGUACUAAUUUAGAACAAUAUAUUACACAUUUGGUUAUUUGUUUUACAGUCUUUAAAGUAGCUAAUUCAUACGGUCUAUAAUCACAAUAUCUGUCUUAAGAAAGUCUUGAAACGGAAGUAAUGGCACAUUGUGAAAUAACGUUGAGAUGUUUGUUUGGGUGUGAAAAUAUUAGUUCAAAGAUGGACACCAUUCCUUAUUGUGUUUCUUUAACCGUUCAGAGAACGACCAGAGAAAUCAGGUUGAACACUGGAACCAUCAUCAUAUUGACAUAUCUGACAUCUGAAAUUCCCUUCGCAAGUUGUUUUAUUAAGUGCCUUGUUGGCUUUCCU
ensembl:lncRNA